rnacentral:rRNA from 1 species
AAAUGAAUAGACGGGGACCCGCACAAGCAGCGGAGCAUGGGGUUUAAUUCGACGCAACGCGAAAAACCUUACCAGGCCUUGACAUCCUUUGACCGCCUAAGAGAUUAGGUUUCUCUAGCAAUAGAGCAGAGAGACAGGUGGUGCAUGGUUGUCGUCAGCUCGUGUCGUGAGAUGUUCGGUUAAGUCCGACAACGAGCGCAACCCUUGUAUACAGUUGCCAAUAUUAAGUUAGGAACUCUGUAUAAACUGCCGUGGAUAACACGGAGGAAGGUGGGGAUGACGUCAAAUCAUCACGCCCCUUACGGCCUGGGCUACACCCGUGCUACAAUGGCUAUUACAAAGAGCAGCUAAACAGUAAUGUCAUGCGAAUCUCAAAAAGAUAGUCUCAGUUCAGAUUGUGGGCUGCAACUCGCCCACAUGAAGUAGGAGUUGCUAGUAAUCCCAAAUCAGCAUGUUGGGGUGAAUGCGUUCCCGGGUCUUGUACACACCGCCCGU